rnacentral:rRNA from 1 species
UACGUAGGGUGCAAGCGUUAUCCGGAAUUAUUGGGCGUAAAGAGCUCGUAGGCGGUUUGUCGCGUCUGCUGAAAACUGGAGGCUCAACCUCCAGCCUGCAGUGGGUACGGGCAGACUAGAGUGCGGUAGGGGAGAUUGGAAUUCCUGGUGUAGCGGUGAAAUGCGCAGAUAUCAGGAGGAACACCGAUGGCGAAGGCAGGUCUCUGGGCCACUACUGACGCUGAGAAGCGAAAGCAUGGGAGCGAACAGG